GCUUUUUCAAUGGCAAACACAACUCAACCUGCCAGAGUACUCUCUCGAACCAGGUUAUUGCAUCUACUUUCCUUUAAGAGUUUGCUGACGAGUAUUUCCGUGUGAUAAACGCAGAGUUGCGUUCUGAGAGUUGGAAUCAAGUGCUGCAAAGGUUGCCAGACAAAUGCAAAGAGAAAGUUACUCAGUGUUUCUGGUGAUGAUCUUGUUAAAGCCAUUGAAAAUAUGCUCUCUUUUUGUUUUAUUUGAAGCUAAUAUAUUGUUUUGGUAUGGAAACAGGGGUGAGUGCAGUUGAGUAUAACGCAGAACAAGGGCUCCUAAGAGUCUCAGGUGACCCCAACCCAGCUAAGCUGCUUCGCAAGCUUGCCAAAUGGGACAAAAACGCAGAGCUUGUCUCUCUUCCUGGUGAAGUCUCUGCCCCCGCUCCUAGAACCCCUCAACUUUACCAGACCAAGAGGAUGGGGAAGAGGACACCAAAGUGUUUUCUUCUGAGGUGUUUCGGGACUAAGGAAAAGGUUGAGCCUUAUGGAGUAGCAGGGGAUGAAAACGGCAGCGCAACGCCCUUCAUCAACACUGUUGCGCCUCCAAUGGUGUAUCCUCCUCCUCAACCAACGCCUGGCUUCGCGACACCCAUACCAUACCCUCCUCCCUGUUUUGGGGCAAACCAACCACCAUACACAUACACUUCUGGUGGUAUGUACCAGUCACCUCCACCAACUUUCCAGUUAAGAAAGACGCAGUUUCCACAGAUGGUCAACUACCCGCACCACUGAGCUAGAAAAAACAGACGCAUGCCUGCUUCUUUUCUCUUGAAUGAAUCCACACAAGCAAUUCAAAAGCAUCCAGAAUAUUUGUCUAGGCGAUUGCCAUGCCUACAGCCUAUUUUUGGUUAUGAAUAUGCCUAAUAAGAGAUUCAUAUUGAACAACAGCAACAACAAUUUUUUUUUUUGGUCAAAGACAGUAUAAAGUUAAUAAAUAAUAAAAUCCAAAGAUAAAAUAUAUCCAUUUCCUAUUGGAAACAUGUGAUUAAUAUAGAGUUUGUGUCUGUUUGCUAAAUUGAUGAAUAUUAGCUGAACUAGUGGAAUAUUUUAUUAAAACCAUUGAAAACAAUUCGUGCUAAUCGCAGCAUAUCCGUGAAUCCAAAAAAGUUAGCAAAAGCUGAUGGAGAGUGACCUAAUUAGUUUUGAGAAUCUUCUGUAUAUUAAUCUUUAGCGCGCGUACAUGGAAGAGAUUACACGGUUCCUAUAUACUAUGAUCUCUUGCUGAGUGCUGAUUCUCGUUUUAUACCCUAAAAUUAUACAAAAAAAAACAAAACAAAUGCAGAAGAAAGAAAGAAAACAGGAAUCAGAAUGCGAUCCCUUUGGAACAUCACUCUUCCUUUUUUCUUGAAAAAAAAGCUUGUUAAAGUUUCCACCAUUCCUCUUUUCAACAAUGAGAAUCUCCCAACCCAAGAAAUUUCUCCUUUGUUUUCUUCUCUCUUUGCAUGGUGUUCCCUUUUGAAACACGUUAUACUGAUAUAUCAACAAAGCUACCUUCUUUUUUUAAUCACAACUUUUUGGAUUAUAAAAACCUCGUUAAUCUUCUCUGCACAGAUCACUCUCUAAUUAGCUCCUUUACUUCCUAAGCUCUUAGCAUAAUUAAUUGAUAUCGAUGGCAAAGAACUCAGAGAGUAGCAGCAAGAACCAGGAGACGAAGAAAGAAAGCAGAGUGUGUGAGAAGAUUUUCAGAGCAAUGACGAGUCCUGUUCGAACUGUUCGCCGCCUCUCCACCAAACCUUCACCGAAGCACCACCAAGCGGAGCCUGUCCGCGUCAAGUUCUCUGAGACGUCGACUCAGGCAGCCAAACCCAUUUCAAAGAUGGAGCCGCUGAUCACUCGAGUGGAGACGAAGCUGAAAACGGACGAGAGGUUCACUGAUUAUAUAAAGAAAGCCAAACUGAAGAUCAGGGCAGUGACGAAUCCGGGUGACAUGAUGAGGAACGAUGCGUCGAAGACAAGUGAAGCAGAGGCACGUGAUCAUCGUCGUCAGUGCCAUGUCCCUACCGCUAGUGUCUCGAGAGAGGGUAGCAGUGGAAGGUCAUCAGAUCAUUUCUCCGAGUACAUAAGGAAGGCGAAGAUGAAGCUCAGAUCUUCCACCGUCGCUCGUGCGAACCCAACUUACAAGGAUUGAUGAAUUCCCACUAAAUUAUUAUAUGAAUAAUCCAGCUUACGGUUAUGAUCAGUAAACUCUGAUGACAAACUAUAUGAAUUAUCGAUAACUUUUUUUUUUUUUUUGAAACACAUAUUUCGAUUGAUAAAGAAAUUAGUUGGGAGCAGUUAAGGCAUCACCAACAACCAAAGGUUCAGGAGCUUUCAAAGCAUCCUUUGCCAAGCAGUCCGCUAACAUGUUUUUCUCUCUAGGAAUCCAAGAGAAAACAACAAACUCAAACACAGAAGCAUAUGAGAGAAUAUCAGAAACCAAACUAUAGAGUUCAGUUGUGGAUGAUUCAGACUUUACUGCCUUGAUAAGCAGAGCAGAGUCAGACUCGAAAGCGACCUUCUUCAGCCCCAAUCUUGCGCAGGUACGGACAGCUUCCCGUAGGGCUAAUCCUUCCGCCGAUAAGGAUGAGACAACGCAUUUGGUAGUCUUCAUGAAAGAGCGAUUUCCGGUUGUCGAGAGGAUGAUCCAUCCCAAGCCCGCUUCGUUUGAAACAGAGGCCCAUGCUGCAUCUGAGCGAAUUACCACCGUGUCCCGAGGGUUCAGCGCAGGGAGAAUUGGGCGUUUCAGGCCAACAGAACUUUCCUUCUUCACUUCAGUACUCCAUUCUCGUGCUAGGACAAUAGCCGUUGUCAGGGUGUCCUCCGGCGAAGCAGAGUGUCCCUCGAAGACAAAUUUGUUCCGAGCUUUCCAAAGAGACCAUAAGAUCCAAGGAACCAGUGUGCUCGAAGUGAUACCUGCAGGGGGAAGACAUUUAAGGGCGCAGAGGCCAUCCCAGCUGUUCAUUAAAUCUAUUAUUCCACUAACAUCCAUAUCAGUCAUGAGAGGAGCUAAACUCCAGACUCGUUGCGCGAAGGGACAUUGGAAUAGAAGAUGAAUAAUAGAUUCCGAGCAGCCGCAUCGUUUACAAGCAGGGUCAGCAGGAACGUGUCUGUCUACGAGCCUUUCUCCCACCGGGAUAGCUCCCUUGAGAAGCCUCCAUGAGAAAAGUUUAAUCUUUGGGGCACAAGUCAGAUUCCAGACACUUCUUUUCCACUGAAAGCCGAGGUUGUUUUGUGCUAUUUCUCCGUUUUCCUCUUGAUUAACCGCCGUAUAAUACCCCGAUUUUGUAGAGUAAGUCCCCGACCUUGUUCCUAGCCACACUUGCUUAUCAGGAGCCCCCGUCAGACUUGGAUUGAUGCUUAGUAUUUUCUCCUCGUAGGCUGGAAGUAAGAGCUUGAUUUUAGGUACAUCCCACUCUCCCGUCCCAGCGUUUAUGAGGUCCGCGACAGUAAGAUCUUGGUGUGCUUCAUUUGGCGGUCCCAUUGGUCUCUGUUGACAAGUAAGGCUCAGCCAGGGGUCGUUCCAUAUGCUGAUGGAGUCUCCAUUGCCCACAAUCCAUCCUAGGUUCUUAAGUAAGAGGUCUCUGCCCUUGAGGAUUCCCCGCCACCCAUGCGACAUAGUUGAAGUUUCCUCGGCUUGUAGGAUGUUGGAGUCUUGACAGUACUUUCCAAAAAGUACUCUUCCUAGGAGACAGUUGGGGUUUUGGAGAAGCCUCCACCCAAUCUUUGCUAGCAGUGCAAUGUUGAAGUUUUGGAACUCUCGCAUCCCUAGUCCGCCAAUAGCUUUCGGUUUUGCUAUACUGUCCCAAGCCACCCAAGCCAUCUUUCUCUCAUUUUCAUUUUGAUCCCACCAGUAGCGUGUAACUGCAGACUGAAGGCGUUUACACAGCGAGACAGGCAUUAAGAAGGAUGACAUGGGAUAAGAGGGGAUCGCAGAUAGAACGCUCUGAAGCAUUACAAGUUUCCCUGCAGCAGAUAGGAAUUUGUUUUUCCAGCCUCUCGACUUCUGCUUUAUCCUGUCCACCACAGAUGAAAAGAGAUCCCUCUUCCGGCGUCCGAAAAACUCGGGGAGUCCUAAGUACUUCCCAACUCCACCUUCUUUCUCCAUUUGCAGUUCGCUUCUGAUCAUUGUCUUUAGCGAGGCAGGGGCCUUACUAGAAAAUGUGAUAGCCGAUUUUUCCUUGCUUAUCGACUGGCCCGAAGCUUUCUCAUACUUGUCUAGAAUAGACUUGAGAGACACACAAUUCUCCUUGUUAGCUUGGAGGAAGAACAUUGUAUCGUCCGCAAAGAAGAGGUGAGUUAGUCUAGAACUUCCUCUAGCCACUCGCAAGCCUUGGAGUGACCCAUCUUCUUGGGCUCUGUUACAUAAUCCCGAGAGGACCUCGCUACACAUGAUAAAUAUAUAGGGAGAAAGAGGGUCGCCUUGACGGAGACCUCUACUCGGUACUACCUUCCCUCUAGGCAAGCCGUUAAUGAGGAAGGAGUAUGUAACAGAUGUGAUACACUGCAUUAUGCAUCUAAUCAAAUCGCUGUGGAAGCCCAACCGCUCUAGCACCAGCGCAACAAAUUCCCAUUCGAGCCGGUCAUAUGCCUUGCUCAUGUCCGUCUUAACCGCCAUAGCACACCUCUGCUCCGCUUUGGACGAUUUGAGAUAGUGGAGGACUUCAUGAGUAACUAGGACAUUGUCUCCAAUGGCUCUUCCCGGGACAAAAGCAGAUUGAUUCUCGGAUAUCAGCUUCUCCAUCAGGGGCUGUAGUCUUCUUGUGAGGAUUUUGGAGUAUAUCUUGUAGUACACGUUACACAGCGCGAUAGGUCGAUAAUCCGAGACCUUUUGCGGUUGGGAGAUCUUUGGGAUGAGCCGUAUGUGAGUGUCGUUUAUUCGCUCCGGCAGAGACUCCCCCAUGAAGAAAGCCUGAAUCUCCCUGAUAAUAUCCGGGCUAAUCUGCUCCCAAUGGGUGUGGAAGAAACCCGCUGAGAAACCAUCUGGCCCCGGGGCUUUUUCCGCAUGAAUGGAGAAAGCUGCAUCCCUGAUCUCUCUUGCCGUCGGGAUAGCAGUGAGGGCCUGGUUGUCCUCUUCAGAGACAAUCGGAUGGAGAGCUUGUUUCACUGUCUCUUCUCUGUCACCAAGCUGAGAAGCAAACAAGUUCUGGAAAUAGUCUCCGAUGGCCGAGACAAUCUCUUCCUCCUUAUAUACCAUAUGACCGUCUUCUCGUUCAAUCACCGAGAAAUUAUUGGCUCUUUUACGCGACUUGGUGAUAGUAUGGAAGUAGCCUGUAUUACGAUCCCCCAAUUUCAGCCAUAGCAAACGACUCCGCUGCCGCCAGUACUCCUCUUCUGCCAAGUAAGCCGCAUUGAGAGUCUCAGAAAUGUUCUGUAUCAGAACGGUGUUGUUGUCCGGACUGGAUAGGGCCGCAUUCAGUUCCUGCUUCUUCUCUUGUAUGACUCGUUGACUAUUACGUUGCUGAGUUUUGUUCCAGGCCGAAAUGGCACUCCGCGUCGAACUGAGCUUAUCACUGACCGACGUAUUGGUCGUCGCACGCCAAGAGUCAGCUAUAACUCGCUUUGCUUCUUCAUUUUUGCACAGCCUGCGGUCAUAACGGAACAUCCCACGUCUUCUGCGGUUCCCUCUAUCAAAGAAGGAGAUUAGAGGCAUGUUAAAUUCUAAGAAAAAAAUAUUAAUCUCGGGCACCUGUUAAAUUCUAGUUUUAAUUUUUUUGCUUGCUGUUACACACAUACAUACAGAUAAAACGGCAGAGAGCUUCCACUGGCUCAAUUUUUCCCAUCCCAAAGCAAACCCGAUGGCCUUCAUAUACUACUACUACACGUACCUUUUUUAAACACAAGAGGAAAGAAAACCCUUUUCGACAGCAUCAGCUCCUCCGGUCAUUUGCCAAGGGCUGUUUAGAUUUGUGGUGGCUGGGCUAGGGAUAUUGCGUGAGAAAGAGAUGAAAGAGUAAGAGGAAUCAGAGAGAAAGAGCGAUCACACUAGAGGUUACAUGACAUGGGGAAGAAUCUUAGCCUAGAAGCAAACAUAUUACCCAAUUCUAUUUUUAUUUUUCUUUCAAUUUACCAGCUUCAUCACUCUUGAUAAGAAAAUGUAUAUAUGUACUGGCACUUGUAUAUUUCAGAAGAAGAAGAAAAAAAGUUCAUCUCAGAAGUCUAUGAUUUCAUUGUAGAGCAAUGUUCACAUUCGUCACGUCACGUACCUUUGAGUAUUCGAUAUGGUGAACAGAGAAGCUGAAUGGAGAAUCAUUCAUUCAUUCCAAGGAAGAGAAGACAGGGAAUCUUCAGAAGUCUCUAAUCCCAUUCCCAUCCUCUACUCGGUUCUUUCCAGCCAUCCAAGCUGUAAUAAGAGAGAGGCACAAACCAAAAAUAAGUGAAGAAAACCACAAUUACAAUUGCGAAAGAAGGUAAGUGUAUGGGCUGAGCAGAGCAGAGCAGAGCAGAGCAGAGAAGAGGAGAAAAGAUUUCCAGAAGAAGGGUAUAGCAACGUUGAGUGAUGAGAAAAAGAGCCUCGCCUCUUGAGAAGGAAUAGUGAACAUCCAAAUGGACCACAUAACAUAGCCAUAGGUCAGGGGUUCGUUGGAGGUUGAAAGAGAGGACCCCAAAAAUUUGUUAAGGGUAGUUCCGGGGGAGGCCCUAGGGGCAAAGGUUGGUUACUUGCUGCAGUCUUGUUAACAACCUGCUUGAAUUGAAUUUGAAUUUGAAUCUGACAACAAGUCAUUAGCUUAGUAUGUUGUAAUCCCUUUUGCUUUCGAAUCAUUUUACAAGCACCAAUCAAUAGUUACAAGUAACAGUGUUGUUAACACAAGCUCUCUGCAUCUACUCUCAUGGCAAAAAUGGCUUACCGAGUGCAGAAGACGACGAGGAGGAAGGAAAAGUAGAUUCCGGUUCCUCCUACACUCGACCGAAUCUAGAACGGCAACUGAGAUUGGAGGGUGGGCGGAAGAGGAAUCGUCGAGAGAGAUUAAGCACCACCUCAUCCUCUCCUCUCCUCUCUCACAGAUAAAACUGAUUGGAUUGAAUGACUCGAGAGAGACUAGGGCUGUUCAAUAUGGUAAAACCGAACCGUACCG
rnacentral:lncRNA from 1 species